rnacentral:RNase_P_RNA from 1 species
GCGGGGGGCUGGAUGACCGCGUGACCAUGUGUUGCGAGGAAAGUCCGGACUCCAUGAGGCGACGAUGCCGGGUAACGCCCGGCGGGGGUAACCCCAGGGAAAGCGCCACAGAGAACAGACCGCCCGCGCUUGCGCGGGUAAGGGUGAAACGGUGGAGUAAGAGCCCACCGGAGGGCUGGCAACAGUCCUCGCAUGGCAAGCCCCAUCGGGAGCAAUGCCGAAUAGGGACCGCGCGCGGAGCAAUCCGCAGGGCCGCCUUGCCCCAGCAGGUCCGGGUAGGCAGCUAGAUCCGGUCGGUAACGGCCGGGCCAGAGGAAUGGUCAUCCAGAGAGAGUUUUCUCUUGGACAGAAUCCGGCUUACAGGCCCCCCGCACAU